AGUGAACGCUGGCGGUAGGCCUAACACAUGCAAGUCGAACGGCAGCACAGUAAGAGCUUGCUCUUACGGGUGGCGAGUGGCGGACGGGUGAGGAAUACAUCGGAAUCUACUUUUUCGUGGGGGAUAACGUAGGGAAACUUACGCUAAUACCGCAUACGACCUACGGGUGAAAGCAGGGGAUCUUCGGACCUUGCGCGAUUGAAUGAGCCGAUGUCGGAUUAGCUAGUUGGCGGGGUAAAGGCCCACCAAGGCGACGAUCCGUAGCUGGUCUGAGAGGAUGAUCAGCCACACUGGAACUGAGACACGGUCCAGACUCCUACGGGAGGCAGCAGUGGGGAAUAUUGGACAAUGGGCGCAAGCCUGAUCCAGCCAUACCGCGUGGGUGAGGAAGGCCUUCGGGUUGUAAAGCCCUUUUGUUGGGAAAGAAAAGCAGCAGGCUAAUACCCCGCUGUUCUGACGGUACCCAAAGAAUAAGCACCGGCUAACUUCGUG
rnacentral:rRNA from 1 species